rnacentral:rRNA from 1 species
UACGAAGGGUGCUAGCGUUGUUCGGAAUCACUGGGCGUAAAGCGCGCGUAGGCGGCGAAUCAAGUCAGAGGUGAAAUCCCUGGGCUCAACCCAGGAAUUGCCUUUGAAACUGAUUUGCUAGAGUGUCGGAGGGGAUAGCGGAAUUGCUAAUGUAGAGGUGAAAUUCGUAGAUAUUAGCAGGAACACCGGUGGCGAAGGCGGCUAUCUGGACGACAACUGACGCUGAGGCGCGAAAGUGUGGGGAUCAAACAGG